GAACGACCACAGGAAGGAGAUUAGAGAAGUAUUUGUAAGAAGCAGAAAAUUGGAGAAAGAAGCAAGAUAGAGAGAGGUUUCAUUUGGAACUGUUUGCUGUACUAUUUGCUGGCUAACAGAUGAUUGAUAGGAUUGUAGAAAAAGCGUAUUUACAAUUCAGAGAGUAAGCAGCUGGUCUUAACUGGCUGUCUCAUGCAAACACAAACAUCUCUACAUGCUUCUCGGAUCAAUUGCGGGAACGUGGCUAACGUGGUACGGGGAUUUCAACAGGAUUACACAAUCGGCAAACUACUUGGAAUUCUGGGACAACGGGUAUAAUGGUUGGGUUAUAAAGUCGUGUUAGAACUACAGUAGAUUCAAUCAAGCAGCAACAGCACACCCUUGUCUCCCAGAUGAGUUAGUGCUGGUUUCAUCUGAAUCAGAGCAUGAAGGUUUGCCUACAAAUGCCUCAUCCAGUAUGUCCAAAGCCUCCAUUGAAACAGCCUUGUUGCGGUCGUGAAGUUGAGUCACUAGCAGUUCCAUUCCCCAGUUGCUGAAGAACUCCACGUUAGCUCGGAGUAGUACCCGCAGAUGUUUGGUGGCGUACAGCCUGCCAUUCUGUGUCAAAAGGAUGUUAAAGGAACAUCAUUACUUAGCCCGCAGCAUACGUGGCAGCAGUGAGGAUCUUGGAGAGGAUGACUCGUGCCAAACCGUCCCGACUGUAAUCCAGUGUGGAAGCGAUCAGCUUCAGAAGAUGGUCUUGGUUCUUCAGAGUACACAGGUGUUACACUAACCAUUGGAAGACACUGCACUUCUCGAGCAUCUUAACACCCUGCGGGUGGGCUGAGAGAGUGCCCAGGAAGAGGAAGUAGUGCUGACUGAGGGUGGUGAGGAGACCAUUGCUCUGCAGACUACGGU